UAAAGAAGUGAAAGUAAAAGUAAAAACCUGAGAAGUGCUGACACUCCGCUUGACUUCUGAGGGCUUUAGUUGAAGGUUUUGAUCCCUUUGUUCACCCUCAGCUCUGCUCUCUGAUAACAUGCUGCACACCGCGAAGCCCUGUGAGAUUCAGACUGGAGGAUUCUGCUUCGAGAACACCCGCAGGAAUGCAGUUCUGGAGUCCAGCUUGUCAGAGUCCGGAUACAAAGCUCCAGGGGCCA